AUGAGGGGAAUGGAACCUCAACCCAGCAUGUUAUCAUGAUAGAGUCUGCAGAUACAGAGGCUGCAGGUCCUGGGGUGAAGCAAGAGAGGUCUGAAAGAGAGGAGGACCUACGGCACAGCAGAAACAUCCAGACUGGAGCGGCUGGAGCGUCCUCUGUAGCCACGAAGGACCCCACCACGGCCCCAGCGCAGACCAGUGCCGGCUCAGUGUAUUUACCGGUAUUUCACCAGAGCCAGGGGACGGUUCAUUCCUGUGGAGAUGGUGACGCAUUAGUCACUGGUGGUGAUGAUCCGUCAUGUUCUUACACUACAGAGAUGGACCCUGGCACCAUAUCCUUGGGUUUAGAGACACAGACUGAUCUGUCUAAAGGGGAAUGGAACCGGUACAGUAGAAGUGUAUACUCUGAAGGGUGCCUAGAUAAGAAAGGGGAGGGUCUGGUCGUAGAUGAGGUGACUGUGAAAGUGGAGGGCGACGCUCCUCCCACAUGGAAUGCAGAUAGUCACCUAGGAGACAGACACUCACAGGGCAGAGAUUUCUUAGAUUACAGGGAAAGCUUAGAGACAAAUCCAAAUGUUGCGACCCACUCCCCUUUACACAUCCUCAGGGAUCGCGACCCAGUGUCCACGUCGAUGGGGCUUUCUGAUUCACACGGCCAUGUCCUUUUCAAUCAGGUAUUGAGCGCAAACGACAGGGCUAGAGCUCAGGGAGGGGGAGCCACAUCAGGCAAUAGUAAAGAGAAACGGUUCCUCUGCAUGUUCUGUAACAAAGGCUUCAGCUGCCCCCAGAAAGUGGAGAUCCACCAGAGGGUCCACACAGGGGAGAAACCCUUCAGUUGUACCCAAUGUCACAUGCGCUUCGCUGAGGCUGGCAGCCUGAAGAGGCACCAGAGGGUCCACACAGGGGAGAAACCCUACAGCUGCCCCCAGUGUGAGAAGAGGUUCUCCCACCAGCACCAUCUGAAGAGGCACUUGAAGGUCCACACGGAAUAGAGGUCGUUCGCCUGUAAGCACUAUCGGAAGAGGUUCUCGGAGAAGAGUUACCUCGGGAUACACCAGCAGAAAAACGAUUCCACUCUAUAACAUAGAAAGUAACCAUUCCAUUCAAUGGCUUCUAACGUUUAGAUCAAACUCUGUCCCCAGAAGGUGGAGAUCCACCAGAGGGUCCACACGAGAUGACGUAGAUCAAUUUCCAGAACAACAAGGCCAAGACAUUUUGGGAUAUAUAAGGCCUAAAAAGACUUAAUUUAGCCUACAAACGUGGUAGUUACAGUUUUGUCCCAUGCUGCAACUCCCAUUUGGGAAAGGAGAAGGUGGAGAGCAGUGCAUCCUCCGAAACACAACCCAACCAAGCCACACUGCUUCUUGACUCAAUGCCCGCUUAACCCGGAAUGCAG